ACUGAUGAACGCAACGAGCUCGACCCUGAACCGAAAGGCCUGGGUAAACUUGUGAAAGUUCAUCGUGAUGGGGAUAGAUUAUUGCAAUUAUUAAUCUUCAAC
rnacentral:ncRNA from 1 species